AUGACACCAGCACUGGCUUUGCUCAUCCUUCUGGCAGCUCCACCGGGUGUCCUGGCCCAGGUCAUGCUGAAGGAGUCUGGCCCUGGGGUUGUGAAGCCCGGAGAUACCCUCAGCCUGACCUGCACCGUGUCUGGAUUCUCUCUCACUAGCAGUGAUGUGAGCUGGGUUCGGCAGGAAGCAGGGAAAGGGCUGGAGUGGGUCGGAGACAGCUGGAUUGGUGGAAACACCUAUUAUAACAGCGCUCUCCAAAGCCGCCUCAUCAUCAGCAGAGACACCUCCAGCAGCCAAGUGCACCUGCGCCUGACCGGGGUCCAACCUGGAGACACAGCCCGGUAUUACUGUGUCAGAUACACAGUGAAUGAAAAUGCAUGCGAGCCUGCACAAAAACCAGCCCUG